rnacentral:rRNA from 1 species
CUCAGCGGCGGACGGGUGAGUAACACGUGGGCAACCUGCCCUGCAGACUGGGAUAACUCCGGGAAACCGGAGCUAAUACCGGGUAAUACAUAGCAUCGCAUGAUGCAACGUUGAAAGUUGGCUUUCGAGCUAACACUGUAGGAUGGGCCCGCGGCGCAUUAGCUAGUUGGUAAGGUAACGGCUUACCAAGGCCACGAUGCGUAGCCGACCUGAGAGGGUGAUCGGCCACACUGGGACUGAGACACGGCCCAGACUCCUACGGGAGGCAGCAGUAGGGAAUCUUCCGCAAUGGACGAAAGUCUGACGGAGCAACGCCGCGUGAGUGACGAAGGCCUUCGGGUCGUAAAGCUCUGUUGUUAGGGAAGAACAAGUACCGUUCGAAUAGGGCGGUACCUUGACGGUACCUAACCAGAAAGCCACGGCUAACUACGUGCCAGCAGCCGCGGUAAUACGUAGGUGGCAAGCGUUGUCCGGAAUUAUUGGGCGUAAAGCGCGCGCAGGCGGUCUCUUAAGUCUGAUGUGAAAGCCCACGGCUCAACCGUGGAGGGCCAUUGGAAACUGGGGGACUUGAGUGCAGAAGAGGAGAGUGGAAUUCCACGUGUAGCGGUGAAAUGCGUAGAUAUGUGGAGGAACACCAGUGGCGAAGGCGGCUCUCUGGUCUGUAACUGACGCUGAGGCGCGAAAGCGUGGGGAGCGAACAGGAUUAGAUACCCUGGUAGUCCACGCCGUAAACGAUGAGUGCUAGUG